rnacentral:rRNA from 1 species
CCUACGGGAGGCUGCAGUGGGGAAUAUUGCACAAUGGGGGAAACCCUGAUGCAGCGACGCCGCGUGAGUGAAGAAGUAACUCGUGAUGUUAAGCUCUAUCUGCAGGGAAGAAUAAAUGCUACGUGUAGCAUGAUGCCUGUACCUUGUGAAUAAGCAUCGGCUAACUCCGUGCCAGCAGCCGCGGUUAUACGGGGGAUGCGAGCGUUAUCCGGGUUUAUUGGGUUUAAAGGGUGCGUAGGCGGGUUUUUAAGUUAGUGGUUAAACGUCGGGGCUUCACCGUGAUUUGCCGUUAAUACUGGAAGACUUGAGUUCAGUCGAGGUAGGCGGAAUGUGUUGAGUAGCGGUGAAAUGCUUAGAUAUGACGUAGAACUCCGAUAGCGAAGGCAGCUUACCAGACUGCGACUGACGCUGAAGCACGAGAGCGUGGGUAUCGAACAGGAUUAGAUACCCGAGUAGUC